UACGUAGGAGACGAGCGUUGUCCGGAAUUACUGGGCGUAAAGCGCGUGUAGGCGGAUGAGCAAGUCUGCUGUGAAAGCUCCUGGCUUAACCGGGAGUGGUCGGUGGAAACUGCUCGUCUGGAGGACGGUAGAGGUAGGUAGAAUUCCCGGUGUAGUGGUGAAAUGCGUAGAGAUCGGGAGGAAUACCUGUGGCGAAGGCGGCCUACUGGGCCGGACCUGACGCUGAGGCGCGAAGGCGUGGGGAGCGAACGGG
rnacentral:rRNA from 1 species